UACGUAGGGUGCAAGCGUUGUCCGGAUUUAUUGGGCGUAAAGAGCUCGUAGGCGGCUUGUCGCGUCGAAUGUGAAAACCCGGGGCUCAACCCCGGGCCUGCAUUCGAUACGGGCAGACUAGAGUUCGGUAGGGGAGUCUGGAAUUCCUGGUGUAGCGGUGAAAUGCGCAGAUAUCAGGAGGAACACCGGUGGCGAAGGCGGGACUCUGGGCCGAUACUGACGCUGAGGAGCGAAAGCGUGGGGAGCGAACAGG
rnacentral:rRNA from 1 species